UAAGGAAUAUUGGUCAAUGGAGGCAACUCUGAACCAGCCAUGCCGCGUGCAGGAAGACUGCCCUAUGGGUUGUAAACUGCUUUUACACGGGAAUAACCCCCGCUACGUGUAGCGGGCUGAACGUACCGUGGGAAUAAGGAUCGGCUAACUCCGUGCCAGCAGCCGCGGUAAUACGGAGGAUCCGAGCGUUAUCCGGAAUUAUUGGGUUUAAAGGGUGCGUAGGCGGCCCGGUAAGUCAGGGGUGAAAGACGGUGGCUCAACCAUCGCAGUGCCUUUGAUACUGCCGGGCUUGAAUGUACAUGAGGUAGGCGGAAUGUGGCAAGUAGCGGUGAAAUGCAUAGAUAUGCCACAGAACACCGAUUGCGAAGGCAGCUUACUAAGGUACGAUUGACGCUGAGGCACGAAAGCGUGGGGAUCAAACA
rnacentral:rRNA from 1 species